rnacentral:snoRNA from 1 species
CAACAUCUGCUGCCAAGGUUUUCACUGUAGAUGCGAGAAAAAGAAGUCCUCGCGCUUUCUGUCUGUCUGAUUGUGGCAGCCAUGAUUGAAUAGGGGAAGACAGGA